rnacentral:misc_RNA from 1 species
CGCACCUUGCGCUCCUUGGUAUUCCGAGGAGCAUGCCUGUUUGAGUGUCAUUAAAUUCUCAACCCUCUGACUCUUGCGAGUUGUGAUGGGCUUGGAUGUGGGUUUGCCGGCCUCUCCCCCCGAGGUCAGCUCUCCUGAAAUACAUUAGCGGAACUGUUUGCAGUCCCGUCACUAGUGUGAUAAUUAUCUACACUGUGAUGAUUGCUCUCUGACGUUCAGCUUCUAAUCGUCCUCUGGACAACCUUGAUGAACCUCUUGACCUCAAAUCAGGUAGGACUACCCGCUGAACUUAA